rnacentral:misc_RNA from 1 species
AUUACCGAUCUCUCUUCAAAGAGACCAAACCAACACCAAGUCUCCAGGUCGCUUAAUUCAUUACCGAUCUCUCAAACCAAUUAUCGAGUCACCUCGCCAGCCGAUCACAUUUCCGACCUCCAUUUUAUAAAUAUGGUGGAUAAUCGUUAAAUGAAAUUAAGGUUUCAAUUCGGUCCAAUCUUCGUUGUGGAUAAUUGUUUAAUAAAAUUAAGGUUUUAAUCCAGCUUGAUGUUGCUUCCGAUCUUAAGUGUCCAAAUCAGGUUUCCAAUUUCAAUAAUAUUAAGUCCCGUGCGGUGUUUGUUCUCAGCCGAUCUCACGCUUACAAUGUUUUUCCGACCUCUUAUGCUUAGAUUAAUAAUCACUUUUAAGUUUAAUAUUCUAAUUGGUUCAGACAGUCAGGCGCUUGUACAAGUUAGAUACUUUCCGAUCUCAUCAAACAAAAAGAGAAUUGCAUUUCAUUUCAAAGUAAAAAAAU